rnacentral:lncRNA from 1 species
AACACCAACCUUAAGCCUAGGUUCGUUACUACGUUUGUAUUGACUAUGUCAAUGUUGAUUAUUAUGAUCGCUGUCUUAGGACUGCACGGCAGCGAGGGGAUUGUGGAUCUUAUAUUAAUGUUUUUGUGUCGAGGCAGUGCAUUAGCACUACAGGUGCUUGUUACAUGAGCAAGGGGGGUGUCAUCUUUUGAGUGCCAUGUCUGCAUUAGGAAUGCUGCAUUUGUCUUCCGAGGCUGCGGUGUGGAUCUCGCACUGCGGCCGCCUCACCUUGGCUGGGGAGAACCUCGGUGGGCAGGAUUCAGAGGGGCUUUUGGUUUCCCGUUUUCCACACUGAACCCUUCUAUCUGGUUUCUGACCCUGAUUAUUCAGGGCUGCAAACAGGAAGGAUUUUAUUCACCGUCGAUGCGGCCCCGAGUUGUCCCAAAGCGAGGCAGUGCCCCCAAGGUCCGUGCUGAGGAGAACGCUGCUCUGCCUUCGCGGUGUCCCCCGGGUCUGUGCUGAGCAGAACGCAGCUCCGCCCUCCCGGUGCCCCCGGCCCGCCCGGGUCUGUGCCAAGGAGAACACUGCUCCGCCUUCGCUGUAUCUCCGAAGUCUGUGCACAGGAGAACUCAGCUCCGCCCUCGCGAUGCUCUCCGAGUCUGUGCUGAGCACAACGCAGCUCCGCCCUCGCAAAGGCACAGCGCGGGCGCAGGCGCCCAGAGGCGCACAGGAGACCUCAGGCCCAGACUCCACUCCCCAGCUGUGAAAGGACUGCUGGCCAGACCCCCAAGCUAGCCCGCCAGGCCUCCAUAGAGCUGCCCAGCAUGGCUGCAUCCAGUACCAAGAGUUGGUGGGAGACGGGUGAGGUAUAGGCUCAGUCUGCGGCCAAGACUCCGUCCUGCAAGGUCGACAGCCAAAAGCGGGAGGUAUCCAAAGCUGCAAGAGAAGAGAAAAUGGCCUGUGGUGGGGAGCAGCUUCCAAGCCACCACGGAGGCCCCACUCAAGUCCCAGGCCUCAUGGGAGCUGACCCUGAUGCACGGGGACUGAGUCACCCCUGACAGAACAAUAAGGAGACCUCGUGGCAUUUCCCAUCUCCACAGAAACCACCAAAUCCAUGUCUGCCAUGAUCCUGCUCACUUCCUCACCCACCCUUCCCUGCAAUCCAUCCCUAAUGAGUGCUCUUUGAACCCAUCCAACUCUCUCCAUCUCUACAGCCCUCGCCCAGCCUCAGUUUCCUCAUUUGAAAGAUGGGAAUUCUAACACGUGUCUGAGAGGGCUUAGAUGAGAAUUAAGUUUGCAAAACUGAAAGCAGUGACUUUUGUUUGUGUUGCUCACAGAACCUACACACUGUUCCCUGCUUCUCAGGCUCUUCUCUGUCCCAGUUCUCUCCCUUUCUGCCACCCCUUGAGUUGUCAGGCUCCUCACUCCCGCUUCAGGCUGCACCCUUCUUCAGCUUCCUCCACUCCCUGGCUGUGGCAGGCAGCCUCUAGGAUGACCCUCAAUGAUCCCCAGCUCCUGCAGUCACCCUCUUGUGGAGUCCCCACCCCUUUAGUGUGGGAUGCACCUAAUGACUCACUUCCAACUCACAAAAUAUGGCAAAAGACACAGGAAGUCACCUCUGAAAUUAGGUUGCAAAAGGACCUGCUAUCCCUCUUGCUCAUCUUCUCCUGAAAGACAGGUGGCAGAGCUGCCAUGCUGCGAAGCACCCUAUGCGGCAAGGGGCCCAGGGAGUACCCCUGUCAACAGCCAGCAAGGAACUCAGACCCUCAGCCCAACAAGCCACAGCUGAAUCCUGCCAACAGUCACAUGAGUAGAUUUGGAAACAAAUCCUCUGCCACCUCUCGGAAAGUCAAGCCUUGAAAUGAAUGCAGCCCCAGCCAACAGUUUCAGCCUGGGAAUGGCCCUGUGCAGAGAUACUCAGCUAAAACUGUAGUUGGAGUCAUAAGUCAGAGAAACUAUGAAAUCAUAAAUGUACAUUGUUUUAAGUUGCUGAGUAUUGGGGUGGUCUCUUCCAUAGCAAUAGGUAACUGAGACACAUAGCCUUCAUUUGUAUCUCCAUACAGAACACUCCCUGGUAUAUACAGCCGACCUCUGUAUCCAGGGACCUGUGUCUGUGGAUUGAACCAACCACAGAUCAAAAAUAUUCAAAAAGUAGGCUGGGCACAGUGGUUCACACCUAUAAUCCCAGAACUUUGGGAGGCCGAGGCAGGUGGAUCACCUGAGGUCAGGAGUUCAAGGCCAGCCUGGCCAACAUGGUGAAACCCCAUCUCUACUAAAAAUACAAAAAAUUAGCAAAGUGUAGUGGCAUGUGCCUGUAAUCCCAGCUACUCAGGGGGCUGAGGCAGGAGAAUCCCUUGAACCCAGGAGGCGAAGCUUGCAGUAAGCCAAGAUCAUGCCACUGCACUCCAGCCUGGGCAACAGUGAAGCUCGGUCUCAAAAAAUAAAAAUAAAUUAAUUAAAAAAAUAAAAUGGUUUGUUGUGUCUGUACUGAAUAGGUACAAACUUUCUUCUUGUCAUUAUUCUCUAAACAAUACAAUGUAACAACUAUUUACAUAGCAUUUAAAUUGUAUUAGGUAUUCUAAGUAAUUUAGAGAUGUCUUAAAGUGUACGGGAGGAUGGGUAGGUUACAUGCAAGUAUAGGACUUGAGCAUCUGUGCAUUUGGUAUACACCACGGGGGCCCUGGAACCAAGACCCCUCUCUUCUGCUUUGCUUACUGGCUGCUGUGACUCUUAGGAGCUCUCCUACUUGUUCGGCGGGUCCCUCCCAGUCUCCUUUGCUGUUUCAUCCUUUGCUCUGCCUCUUAAUGUUAGCCAGCGUCCAGGGCUCAUUCCUGGGUCCCUUUCUAUUCUCUCUACACAUGAACCCUGGGGCUCUCUCCCAGUCCCUGGUUGUAAAUACCAGCUAUAGGCCUAUGACUUCCCAGUCUCAAUCUCCAGCCUGGACCACUUCCAAGAACCCCAGACUCAUAGUUUCCGGUGGCAACUUGGGUGUCUAAAACACAUCUCAAACUCAACCCACCUUCCCCAUUUCUCCAUCUGCUCAGCUACAUCGUCCUCCCAGGUGGUCCAUCGAGGCUCCAGGUGUCAACCUUAUCUCCCUCCUACUCUCAUAACCAUGCCCCCUCCCAUCCAGUCCCUCAGCGCAUCUCCACUGUGCACCUCCAAAGCAGUAUCUUCAGCCCACCUGUGGCUCUCUCUCUCCACCUGUCCAGCUGGCCUCUCUCACCUGGACCAUGGCGGUGGCCCCGUGCCUGGUCUCCCAGCUCGAACUAGGGUUCCACUCGGCCACCAGAUUUACAUUAUAUGGAAAUCAGAUCCUGUCCCUACCUUGAUUAAACCCCUAAAGUCUUCCCAAAAUAUUUAAAAUAA